AGAGUUUGAUCAUGGCUCAGGACGAACGCUGGCGGCGUGCCUAAAACAUGCAAGUCGAACGGGGGAGUAAUCCCUAGUGGCGAACGGCGGAGUAAUACAUGAGGAACGUGCCCUGAAGACUGGGAUAGUUGUUGGAAACGACAGGUAAUACCAGAUGUGACGGACUUUCGGCAUCGGAGGUCCAUUAAAUAGUUUUUUGCUUCAGGAGCGCCUCAUGGCCUAUCAGGUAGUUGGUGAGGUAACGGCUCACCAAGCCGACGACGGGUAGCGGGUCUCAGAGGAUGAUCCGCUCGAGUGGGACUGAGACACGGCCCACACACCUACGGGUGGCAGCAGUUGGGAAUCUUGCACAAUGGGGGAAACCCUGAUGCAGCGACGCCGCGUGGAGGACGAAGGGUCUAGGCCUGUAAACUCCUUUUAUCGGGAAAGACUUAGGACGGUACCCGAUGAAUAAGGACCGGCUAACUACGUGCCAGCAGCCGCGGUGAGACGUAGGGUCCAAGCGUUGUCCGGAUUUACUGGGCGUAGAGAGCGCGUAGGCGGCUCGUUAAGUGUGAAGUGAAAUCUCUAGGGCUCAACCCAGAAAUUGCUUUACAUACUGGCGAGCUAGAGGGAUGCAGAGGUUUGUGGAAUUCCUGGUGUAGCGGUGAAAUGCGUAGAUAUCAGGAGGAACACCCAUGGCGAAGGCAGCAAACUGGGCAUCAUCUGACGCUGAGGCGCGAAAGCGUGGGUAGCAAACAGGAUUAGAUACCCUGGUAGUCCACGCCCUAAACGAUGGAUACUAUGCGUAAGAGGUAUCGACCCCUCUUGUGCCGCAGCUAACGCAUUAAGUAUCCCGCCUGGGGAGUACGGCCGCAAGGUUGAAACUCAAUGAAUUGACGGGACCCGCACAAGCGGUGGAGCAUGUGGAUUAAUUCGAUACUAACCGAAGAACCUUGCCCAGACUUGACAUCGAUCGCAAAGUCCAGAAAU
rnacentral:rRNA from 1 species